UGGGGAAUAUUGCACAAUGGGCGCAAGCCUGAUGCAGCCAUGCCGCGUGUGUGAAGAAGGCCUUCGGGUUGUAAAGCACUUUCAGCGAGGAGGAAGGUGGUGAACUUAAUACGUUCAUCAAUUGACGUUACUCGCAGAAGAAGCACCGGCUAACUCCGUGCCAGCAGCCGCGGUAAUACGGAGGGUGCAAGCGUUAAUCGGAAUUACUGGGCGUAAAGCGCACGCAGGCGGUUUGUUAAGUCAGAUGUGAAAUCCCCGGGCUCAACCUGGGAACUGCAUUUGAAACUGGCAAGCUAGAGUCUCGUAGAGGGGGGUAGAAUUCCAGGUGUAGCGGUGAAAUGCGUAGAGAUCUGGAGGAAUACCGGUGGCGAAGGCGGCCCCCUGGACGAAGACUGACGCUCAGGUGCGAAAGCGUGGGGCAGCAAACAGGAUUAGAUACCCUGGUAGUCCACGCUGUAAACGAUGUCGAUUUGGAGGUUGUGCCCUUGAGGCGUGGCUUCCGGAGCUAACGCGUUAAAUCGACCGCCUGGGGAGUACGGCCGCAAGGUUAAAACUU
rnacentral:rRNA from 1 species